rnacentral:rRNA from 1 species
UACGUAGGGUGCGAGCGUUGUCCGGAAUUACUGGGCGUAAAGAGCUCGUAGGUGGUUUGUCGCGUUGUCCGUGAAAACUCACAGCUUAACUGUGGGCGUGCGGGCGAUACGGGCAGACUGGAGUACUGCAGGGGAGACUGGAAUUCCUGGUGUAGCGGUGGAAUGCGCAGAUAUCAGGAGGAACACCGGUGGCGAAGGCGGCAUCCUGGACCAAUAUUGACGCUGAGGAGCGAAAGCCAGGGGAGCAAACGGG